rnacentral:rRNA from 1 species
AACGAACGCUGGCGGCAUGCCUAACACAUGCAAGUCGAACGAGACCUUCGGGUCUAGUGGCGCACGGGUGCGUAACGCGUGGGAACCUGCCCUUAGGUUCGGAAUAACUCCCCGAAAGGGGUGCUAAUACCGGAUAAUGUCUUCGGACCAAAGAUUUAUCGCCUUUGGAUGGGCCCGCGUUGGAGUAGCUAGUUGGUAGGGUAAAAGCCUACCAAGGCGACGAUCCAUAGCUGGUCUGAGAGGAUGAUCAGCCACACUGGGACUGAGACACGGCCCAGACUCCUACGGGAGGCAGCAGUGGGGAAUAUUGAACAAUGGGCGAAAGCCUGAUCCAGCAAUGCCGCGUGAGUGAUGAAGGCCUUAGGGUUGUAAAGCUCUUUUACCCGGGAUGAUAAUGACAGUACCGGGAGAAUAAGCGCCGGCUAACUCCGUG